GCCUAAAGCCCUGGCUUUAUGAGUUUUAGUUCAGGGCCGGGCCUGAGUGAGGUUCAUGUUUACCCUUCAGAUGUACAAGUUUGGUUGGUGCAACAGAUUAAUUUGGACAAGGAUCAUGAAUUGACCAAAACUUGUAAUUAAUGUUAUGCUUGUUUAGUAAGUAAUGAAUAGAAUGGUUUAAUUUUGGUAUUAUAUCCCACAAAAUCAUAUCCUACCGAUUUUUAAUUUGACCAGAACUCUAAGUUUGCAAUUUGUUUUUGCUGAGAAUAUUAUUAAUGCAAGAUUUACACACAUUAUUGCAAUUAGAUUCUGAAGAUAUAUGUAAAUAUAUUAUUUCUUUGUUAAUAAAUUAUGUUAGGAAUGGAUGUUCACUUCUUCUCUCCAGAGAAUAUUAUAUAAUUAAUGCAAGAUUUACACAAUUAUUGUAUCUGUAUUCUGAAACAAUAUAUCUUUGUUAACAAACUAAUUAAUAAGUAACGUAUAUACAAAUUUAAGCAAGUAUUUAAAGGGAGAUGGUCAUUUGAUCUUAAACCCAAAAAAAACAUCUUCACAAAAGAAAAGUGAUACAAAGAAAGCAAUGUCAGCACAGAAGAUUCAACUUGCUUCUUUGAUCCUAGCUUUUGUUCUUCUAUUUGCUCAAUCAACUGCUAAAUGUCACUAUAGAUUCCCACCCUCUGGCCCUUGUAAGAAAAUGGACGACUGCAAGAACGCGUGCACAAUGCGUGACGAAGAUCCAACUUUUCUAUUGUGCCUUGUGAAUGCCCCAAUGUUUGGCAGAUGCUGUUGUUUAGUAAAACAAAAAUAGUCUUGUUCUACAUCGAUACAUCGAUAUCUUUGUCAUAAGAUUUAAAAUCAAUAAAAAAUAGUGUUUGCCUCUU